AUGGCUCCUUUAAGGUUGCUGCUUGGGGAGAGGGGAUGGAUUGUUGGCAAAAUUCGAGUGCUGCCAAGCUGGGAUCCUUGUCACUUCCAACCGAGCCAGCUCCCAGUGAGACAUGUUCCUCUCAAUCAAAGAACAACCUCUGAUCAGAACCCUGCCUGGACUGCAACUUUCUGUACCACACUUUCCUUUUCCCCUGAAGAGGGGGCUUCCUGCUGGGACUGGGGGAAGGAGCCCGACAGGCUUACCCAGAAUCCGUGUCUUCCAGUCAAAAAGUCUCAGAGAAAGAUGCACAGGACUAAAUCAAGCAUUGAGAAAUCUCCCACUGCACUGACCUCCAGCUAUCUCUUCUCCAAAAUGUCAGUUUCCAGGCACACCAGUCAUGGCCUCUAAGAUUCCUCAUGUGGUUCUGGUGACUAUCCAUCCUUAUCUCUGGAAGCAGCAACCACUGCAAAAGGUAGAGCCCUAACUGGCUUGCAUCAUCCUCAUAAAAGUCUGGAAAUCUGAACCUCAAAAUCAAUGGGAGGAAGAAAAGCCAACCAUGGAGUCUGAAAUAUGUCUUUAUCCUGUACAGGGGCUUCAGACUUAUUGCAAAUGAAAAUUCACUCAGACUCUGGUGAGAGGAAGGGAGCUACCAACCUCUCCUGGGCCAGGAUCAAUAGAAGUCUCUAGGUCUGUGUCUCUCUAAAUUGUCUCCUUAGGUUCUAGGAGAAAAGCAAUCGAGAUAAAUGGAUUGAUCAAGAAAGAUUAGGCUAUACUUAUCUGUGAACAGAUUGUAGCCAACUCUCACCCCUGUCCAGGGGAAUGUAAGCCUCUCAAAGAAUUUUAUCAUUUGUAGCUUUAGGACUGAAUAAAACAAAUCCCUUAGAUUAGCA
rnacentral:lncRNA from 1 species